rnacentral:rRNA from 1 species
GGAAAGAGCCCAAACCAAGAAGCUUGCUUCUUGGGGUUGUAGGACACUCUAUACGGAGUUACAAAAGAAAGUUAUAAAUGAAGCGGUCUGGAAAGGCCCGCCAAAGACGGUAACAGCCCGGUAGUUGAAAUGGCUUUCCCUCCAGAGUGGAUCCUGAGUACGGCGGAACACGUGAAAUUCCGUCGGAAUCCGGGAGGACCAUCUCCCAAGGCUAAAUACUCCCUAGUGACCGAUAGUGAACCAGUACCGUGAGGGAAAGGUGAAAAGCACCCCGGAAGGGGAGUGAAACAGUUCCUGAAACCGUGUGCCUACAAGUAGUUAGAGCCCGUUAAUGGGUGAUAGCGUGCCUUUUGUAGAAUGAACCGGCGAGUUACGAUUUGUUGCAAGGUUAAGCGGAAAAAGCGGAGCCGUAGCGAAAGCGAGUCUGAAUAGGGCGCAUAAGUAACAGGUCGUA